rnacentral:rRNA from 1 species
CCUACGCGUGGCAGCAGUGAGGAAUAUUGGUCAAUGGACGAGAGUCUGAACCAGCCAAGUAGCGUGUAGGAUGACUGCCCUCUGGGUUGUAAACUUCUUUUAUAUGGGAGUAAACUGUUCCACGUGUGAGCUUUUGUAUGUACCAUAUGAGUAAGGAUCGGCUAACUCCGUGCCAGCAGCGGCGGUAAUACGGAGGAUCCGAGCGUUAUCCGGAUUUAGUGGGUAUAAAGGGAGCGUAGGUGGUUUGUUAAGUCAGUUGUGAAAGUUUGCGGCUCAACCGUAAAAUUGCAGUUGAAACUGGCAGGCUUGAGUACAGUAGAGGUGGGCGGAAUUCGUGGUGUAGCGGUGAAAUGCUUAGAGAUCACGAAGAACUCCGAUUGCGAAGGCAGCUCACUGGACUGCAACUGACACUGAGGCUCGAAAGUGUGGGUAGCAAACAGGAUUAGAUACCCGGGUAGUC